AUUAUUCAAUGCCACAGCAGUCAUACAAAACAUUCAAAGAUUUAGUUGGAAACUACAAACAGCAUCAGAAUUGUGAAAAAUUGUACAUGGAGUAUAACAAGCUUUGUAUGAAUGCAGAUGAAAAUCUAGGAAUGCCACAACACUUGGCUGCUCAAAUUUUAAUAAAAAUUCUGGAUGCAAUCGCAAACCAAAAACGCACAACAUACCAAUGCUGCUGGUUACAAUAUCGAGAACAUAGGCGAACGUGAUCUAGAAAUACUUGAAUAUAUUAGUGGAUUCUUAAUUAAAAAGGCCAUAAAACAUUACAAAACCCAUCACCAAAUCAUUCUGUCAAGAUGAGCCAAGUUAUAAAUUUGUUUCUGCAAUGAGAAAAUCGGAAAAUGCAUUUCACUGUCUUAAUUCUAUUUUUAAAACAUUCAUGAAUAAAGUUUUUAUGUUGUAUGAGGUAGAGACAUCCAAGCAACCAGAUAAUAUCAAUUUG